rnacentral:rRNA from 1 species
UACGGGGGGUGCGAGCGUUGUCCGGAAUCACUGGGCGUAAAGGGCGCGUAGGUGGUCUGAUAAGGGUGUGGUGAAAGCCCGGGGCUCAACCCCGGGUCGGCCGUGCCGACUGUUAGACUAGAGUGCUGUAGGGGCAGGCGGAAUUCCGGGUGUAGCGGUGGAAUGCGUAGAGAUCCGGAGGAAGACCGGUGGCGAAGGCGGCCUGCUGGGCAGUAUGGCUGACACUGAGGCGCGACAGCGUGGGGAGCAAACAGG